rnacentral:rRNA from 1 species
CGGACGGGUGAGUAACGCGUGAGAAUCUACCUUCAGGAUGGGGACAACCGUUGGAAACGACGGCUAAUCCCCGAUAUGCCGAAAGGUGAAAGGGUUUCCGCCUGGAGAGGAGCUCGCGUCCGAUUAGUUAGUUGGUGAGGUAAGAGCUUACCAAGGCAGCGAUCGGUAGCUGGUCUGAGAGGAUGAGCAGCCACACUGGGACUGAGACACGGCCCAGACUCCUACGGGGAGGCAGCAGUGGGGAAUUUUCCGCAAUGGGCGAAAGCCUGACGGAGCAACGCCGCGUGUGGGAAGAAGGCUCUUGGCUGUCAACCACUUUUCUCACGGGAAGAAGAUCUGACGGUACCUGAGGAAUCAGCCUCGGCUAACUCCGUGCCAGCAGCCGCGGUAAUACGGAGGAGGCAAGCGUUAUCCGGAAUUAUUGGGCGUAAAGCGUCCGCAGGGGGCGCAUCAAGUCUGCUGUUAAAGGUCGGAGCUUAACUCCGGUAGAGCAGUGGAAACUGGUGCGCUAGAGGGCGACAGGGGUAGAGGGAAUUCCCAGUGUAGCGGUGAAAUGCGUAGAGAUUGGGAAGAACACCGGUGGCGAAAGCGCUCUACUGGGUCGCGCCUGACCCUCAGGGACGAAAGCUAAGGUAGCGAAAGGGAUUAGAUACCCCUGUAGUCUUAGCCGUAAACGAUGGAUACUAGGCGUGGUUUGUAUCGACCCAAGCCGUGCCGAAGCUAACGCGUUAAGUAUCCCGCCUGGGGAGUACGCACGCAAGUGUGAAACUCAAAGGAAUUGACGGGGGCCCGCACAAGCGGUGGAGGAUGUGGUUUAAUUCGAUGCAACGCGAAGAACCUUACCAGGGCUUGACAUCCCGCGAAUCUCCAUGAAAGUGGAGAGUGCCUUCGGGAACGCGGAGACAGGUGGUGCAUGGCUGUCGUCAGCUCGUGUCGUGAGAUGUUGGGUUAAGUCCCGCAACGAGCGCAACCCUCGUCCUUAGUUGCCAGCAUUAAGUUGGGCACUCUAGGGAGACUGCCGGUGACAAACCCGGAGGAAGGUGAGGAUGACGUCAAGUCAGCAUGCCCGUUAUGCUCUGGGCAACACACGUCCUACAAUGGUCGAGACAAA